rnacentral:ncRNA from 1 species
GCAAAGACUAUGAUGGGGAUUGUAGGCCCGAUACCCUUACAGAGAGAAACCGCCGGCGGCUGAGAGCGGUUUCAAGGAAAGGCGGGACCGAAGUUGCGCCCCGGAGUUCAGGCCUUGAAGUUAAAAGUAGAGGCCUGCGGCUUAGGCCGUUAAGGAAAAGAGUGAAAAAUCAGAGUGGGACCGCGGGCCUUUCGCCUCUGGA